GACGUAGGGCGCGAGCGUUGUCCGGAUUUAUUGGGCGUAAAGAGCUCGUAGGCGGCUUGUCGCGUCGACUGUGAAAACUCGGGGCUCAACUCCGAGCUUGCAGUCGAUACGGGCAGGCUAGAGUUCGGUAGGGGAGACUGGAAUUCCUGGUGUAGCGGUGAAAUGCGCAGAUAUCAGGAGGAACACCGAUGGCGAAGGCAGGUCUCUGGGCCGAUACUGACGCUGAGGAGCGAAAGCGUGGGGAGCGAACAGG
rnacentral:rRNA from 1 species